rnacentral:lncRNA from 1 species
UCUCCUCCGCAGCCUCCUCCACGAAACUCUUCCAGCGAAGAUUUUGUGCUGCCGUAACCCGCUACCACAUGUAUUCUUCCUCCUCUCUAUCGCCAUCGAUAUCAACAAGCUCAAAUCACUGGUCGUCGGUAGACGGUAGUGAAGAAUAACGAUCAAUUUUCAAUGGCUCAUAACAGAGAUUUUAUCAAAACGUUUUCAAAGAAAAUUUCGAUUCUGCUGAAUCUAUAUAAAACCAUGAAAAUAAAACCAACAGC